rnacentral:rRNA from 1 species
GACGAACGCUGGCGGCGUGCUUAACACAUGCAAGUCGAACGGAAAGGCCUAGCUUGCUGGGUACUCGAGUGGCGAACGGGUGAGUAACACGUGGGUGAUCUGCCCCUGACUUUGGGAUAAGCCUGGGAAACUGGGUCUAAUACCGGAUAUUCAUUUUUCCUCGCAUGGGGAUUUGUGGAAAGCUUUUGCGGUUGGGGAUGGGCCCGCGGCCUAUCAGCUUCUUGGUGGGGUAAUGGCCUACCAAGGCGACGACGGGUAGCCGACCUGAGAGGGUGAUCGGCCACACUGGGACUGAGACACGGCCCAGACUCCUACGGGAGGCAGCAGUGGGGAAUAUUGCACAAUGGGCGCAAGCCUGAUGCAGCGACGCCGCGUGAGGGAUGACGGCCUUCGGGUUGUAAACCUCUUUCAGCUCCGACGAAGCGCAAGUGACGGUAGGAGCAGAAGAAGCACCGGCCAACUACGUG